AAUUGUUAUAAUAAAAAUAUAGUGAUUUAUAAAUUAAAAAUAUUAGAUAAUUAAAAAAUGGAGAAAAGAAUAAGAAACACAAAACUUCCUAUAUAAUAAAGAAAAACGUACCAAAGCGUUUUACCGUGAAUUGCUACUAAAAAUAUUUGAUUUAACAUAAUGAUUACCAUAUAAAUUAAAUAAAUGAAUAAGGUCAAUAAAAUAAAAAAUAACUAUAAAAUAACAAAAUCAGAAAAAGAAAACACAAUACUAACUAUAAACAUGUGAGUGAAAGGAAAGAAAAUAUUUUUAUAUUUUAUUAAAAUAAAAAUAUAAAUUAAAUUUUCAUGAAAAUAAUUAUAUUAUAUAAUAUAACAAAAAGGGUAUAUGUAUUUCUAAAUUUAUUUAUGUGAAAAUAAAGAAAAAACAAACAAGAAAAAAAGAAGAAAACAGAGAUAUUUAUAAUGUCGUCACUAUUACCGUUAAUAUUAUUGUCAUAUUAUAAUUACCGUUAUUAUUAUCGUCGAUGUCAUCGGACUCUUGUAUUGUUUAUAUUUUGAUGAUUAUAACCGGUUCGGUCGUUAAAUACAAGUGUUAUAACAUAAUAUUAUUGUGUAUAAUUGAAAAAUAAAUAAAAAUUAUUUAAAAUUAAUAAAGUGUUAUUAAAAAUGAUUGAAAGAAAA